UCCCGUUUAGCUCAGUUGGUAGAGCGCGUCACUAGUACCUCUACAAGGGCAAUGACGAGGUCAGUCGUUCGAGUCGGCUAAUGGGAA